GGCUCAAUGGUCUAGUGGUAUGAUUCGUGCUUCGGGAUGGAUUUGUCCUCCCUUGCUUGGAAACAAGCAAUCUAAGAUGUGCGAGGUCUCGGGUUCAAUCCCCGAUUGAGCCC